rnacentral:rRNA from 1 species
UACGUAGGGUGCAAGCGUUGUCCGGAAUUAUUGGGCGUAAAGAGCUCGUAGGCGGUUUGUCGCGUCUGCUGUGAAAACUCGGGGCUUAACUCCGGGCCUGCAGUGGGUACGGGCAGACUAGAGUGCGGUAGGGGAGACUGGAAUUCCUGGUGUAGCGGUGAAAUGCGCAGAUAUCAGGAGGAACACCGGUGGCGAAGGCGGGUCUCUGGGCCGUAACUGACGCUGAGGCGCGAAAGCGUGGGGAGCGAACGGG